rnacentral:lncRNA from 1 species
AGAGUCUGUGGGAGGCAGGAUUGGUAGAGUUAGCCUCCAAUUUUGAUACAGCUCUGAUAAGAUAUUGGCCAACCCAAGGGAAAAGGUGGCAUUUUUGCAGAGCCCCACUUUGGAUAAACAUGGCCAAUCCCUAAUGCUCUUGCUGUGCUCUGUCCCUGAUUAGGGGCUUCUGACAAAUCAUAGUGUCAGCUUGAAAUCUGCAGUAGACCCCAAACACUCUGCAGCUGAAGCCUGGUUGCAAAUGACACUGCUUGCAACUAAAAGGCAAGUCUUUUCUUAAAUGAAAAUCUGAGCAGCACACUUCCUUGGCUGCCACAGAUACCACUUGUGGCCAUACGGAUGCCCCGGCACAGAGAGACUAGGCAGCUAGGCUGAAUUCACAGAGAAAGUAGGUGGAUUUAAGUUCUGGCAGCCUGAUUAUGGAUGCAGUCCUCUACUGUGCAUGUAGGACAAUGUCAAAUAGUGAAUUAAACUUUAUUUGACAUUGUACCUAGAACUCAGUUAAAGAAGCACUACAAUUGGUUUGGGUAGCUGUGUACCAAUUUGAUAGCUCCCCCUUUUAUCUGGCUCUCAAACUUUCUUGGAAUGUCUGCCUCUUCUCCUUACCUGAUUCACCACAGCCAGCCACACAAACACUACAUAGUUGAUUCCUGAGCCAAACUCAAAGUAUUUGCAGAUAACUCAAAAAUGUUGCCUCAUCAAUGAAGCUCUCUCUGGUUCUCUAAGGAACGGUAUUCUUGUACUACUCUAAAGCUGCAUAGCAUUUUAUCCUAAUUAUCAUUAUUACUUUCUACCUUCCAUGAUAAAUACGUGCCCCAUUUCCCUAUUCUUCAACAUCAGCCCCUCCUCCUGCAUUGGCGGACCGAGGGACUCAAGCCCUAUUCCUGACCCAUUGCAGGCUCCUUCUGCUACUCUGCAGCCACAGGUCUUUAUCAAUCUUCCCUCCUUUCUCACUCCUUAGGGCCUUUUUCACAAGUUGUUCUUUCUCUUGGAAUGACUGCUUCUUCUCCAAGUUUCAGCAUGAGAUCUCUUCAUUGAAAACCUUUCCUCUUCUACCUCCUACUAAUUUCAUCUAGAUGUCUCUCCUCUGUGCUCCUACUCACACUAUACUGAUGGCAUUUAAAGAUUUUUGAUGAUGACCUGAAGUCAGAAAUGCCUUUUACAGCAUGACCUGGUACACAAACCUGCAUAUACAGAGCCUCCUAUGCAAUCAGAACACAGUUGUUUUAUCAAACUCUUAUAUCUUUACUGCAGUAUAACGCACCCUGAUAUAUUCUGGCCUAUUUUAUUCCUUUAGAAAGUGCUGUCUGCAGCCCAGUAAAUUGAUUUAAUGACCUGCCAGUGGGUCUCAACAUACAGCAUGAAAAACACCACCCUUCAUGAGCCUUUGUUAAUAUACUGGGCUCGCAAUGCUGACAUCAUUAGUAUAGUUGUCUAUUUCUCCACGCAGGCAGUAAAUGCUGAGGGUAGAAAUCGUAUCUUAUUCUUGUUUUUUCUUCUAGUUCAGCACAGGAAAUGUCUAAGAAAUGAAUAAAUGAAUGCAUGCAAGCUCUGAGGUCUUGACAAUAACCUACUUCGAGUUUGAAAAUGCAGCACCGGAAUGUUUGCGUUCGACUUACCAGAAGCUUCUCCCUUGCCUCUUGGCUGUGAACCUCCACAGCGCCCUCCCACAGUAUGUCAAUGGUGUUGUUGGAUCAGCAUUCCCCCUAUUCUGGAAUGUUUUUCUCUUUCUGUUCAUUUGUGUUGUUUGCAUUGGAGGUACCCCGAUCUUAACAGAGCUAUUUCUCUGACUUUAGGUGAUGACCCAGGGAUGGGCACCCAACAUAAGGUGAGCCAAUUUCUAAACCUGUGACCAGAAUGCAUGCGAGUCAGUUUCUCUCCAGGCAUGGGAAGACAAGUUUUCUGCCACAUGGAGGAAGCCAGACCAUAGAGUAUGAUGUAGAGACCACAGAACGAAGGAAAGGUAGAGAUAGAGUAGGUAUCCUGGCACCAUUUCUAAACCCCUGGUUCCAGUUUUUUAAUAGCCAGCAGACCCCUACAUAUUUCCUGUUGGGUGAUUCAGCUGUCAAGUGACACAAGAUGCUUCCAGUAAGUUCUUUAUUCAGUGGAGUUAUGGGUCUUAACAAUACCACUGGCUUUUGUCAGUUUGAUGUAGAUUUCUGUCACUGGAGAAAACUAAGUCCAAAAUCACACAAUCCAAAUGUGCCAGAGAAGCGUGUGGCUGGGUAGACAGUGACUUGUGGUUAUGACUAAGUCUCUAUUCUAGACACCAUCAUUUCCUCAACUCUAUCAGGAAAGAGGCCUAGAAUGUUUGCUUGGGAAUGCAAAUAUUCGUUAAACCAAGAGACAGGUCAUGGUUGUACCAGAAAAGGCAGAAGGG